UACGAAGGGGGCUAGCGUUGCUCGGAAUUACUGGGCGUAAAGCGCACGUAGGCGGAUUGUUAAGUCAGAUGUGAAAUCCCUGGGCUCAACCCAGGAACUGCAUUUGAAACUCCCUUUCUUGAGUGUCGGAGAGGAAAGUGGAAUUCCUGGUGUAGAGGUGAAAUUCGUAGAUAUCAGGAGGAACACCGGUGGCGAAGGCGGCUUUCUGGACGACAACUGACGCUGAGACGCGAAAGCGUGGGGAGCAAACAGG
rnacentral:rRNA from 1 species